rnacentral:rRNA from 1 species
ACGGAGGGUGCAAGCGUUAUCCGGAAUCACUGGGUUUAAAGGGUGCGUAGGCGGUUUAUUAAGUCAGAUGUGAAAGCCCGGCGCUUAACGUCGGAAUUGCAUUUGAUACUGGUAAACUUGAAUCAGGAUGAGGUAGGCGGAAUGUGGCAUGUAGCGGUGAAAUGCAUAGAUAUGCCAUAGAACACCAAUUGCGAAGGCAGCUUACUGGCCCUGCAUUGACGCUGAGGCACGAAAGCGUGGGGAGCGAACAGG